CUACGGGUUGCACCAGUGGGGAAUAUUGCGCAAUGGGGGAAACCCUGACGCAGUGACGCCGUGUGAGUGAUGAAGGUUUUCGGAUCGUAAAGCUCUGUCAGACGGGAAGAAUAAGAACAGUAAAAAUAUUGCUGUUUGAUGACGGUACCGUCAGAGGAAGCACCGGCUAACUCCGUGCCAGCAGCCGCGGUAAUACGGAGGGUGCAAACGUUGUUCGGAAUUACUGGGCGUAAAGCGCAUGUAGGCGGAUAUGUAGGUCAGAUGUGAAAUCCCUUGGCUCAACCAAGGAAGUGCAUCUGAAACCCCAUAUCUUGAGUACGAGAGAGGGAAGUGGAAUUCCCAGUGUAGAGGUGAAAUUCAUAGAUAUUGGGAAGAACACCGGUGGCGAAGGCGGCUUUCUGGCUCGUAACUGACGCUGAGAUGCGAAAGCGUGGGGAGCAAACAGGAUUAGAUACCCCAGUAGUC
rnacentral:rRNA from 1 species